rnacentral:rRNA from 1 species
GACGAACGCUGGCGGCGUGCUUAACACAUGCAAGUUGGACGGUGCGACAUGGAAGCUUGCUGAAGUGUCGUACAGUAGCGAACGGGUGAGUAAUGCAUGAGAAUCUGCCCUUUGGAGGGGGACAACAGCUGGAAACGGCUGCUAAUACCCCGUAAGCCGGGAGGUGAAAGGUACGCGAGUACUGCCGGGGGAUGAGCUCAUGUCCUAUCAGCUGGUUGGCGGGGUAACGGCCCACCAAGGCGACGACGGGUAGCCGGCCUGAGAGGGUGACCGGCCACACUGGUACUGAGACACGGCCCAGACUCCUACGGGAGGCAGCAGUUGGGAAUCUUCGGCAAUGGGCGCAAGCCUGACCGAGCAACGCCGCGUGAGUGAUGAAGGUUUUCGGAUUGUAAAGCUCUGUCUUCCGGGACGAUAAUGACGGUACCGGAGGAGGAAGCCACGGCUAACUACGUG